rnacentral:lncRNA from 1 species
AGCAACAGCAUCUCAUUUUCCCAUAUUCAAAAUCUUUUGUUUUGAUGUGUUUGUGUGUUUGUGUUUGCGAUUGCGUUGCAGGGCGACAAGUUCUUGGAACCCGUCGUGCAGUACAAUGGAGUUGGUUGUGUGUGGAUGCUGGAGUUGUUUGAAGUUGGAGUUGGGGUUGCAGUUGGAGUCAACAAAGAAACAAGUAACCAGGAGAAAUAUACAUAUGUAUGUAUACGUACAUACAUACGGAGAUGCACAGGGAGCGAAACGGAUGGAGCGAGAGAGCAAAGUUGAGACAAAGGCUAAGAGAGGAUGGAACCCGGCUUUCACUGCAUUUCUAUAUUACCUAAAAACACACACACCCAUACAGACUUACGCUGAUUAUUUCCAAAGAUGUAUUUACCUGUGCGUCCCAUGCAUUGAGAAUGGAAGGAAACGUGAUUAGAGUGACUCUCCCAUGAUAUGCUACAUACAUUUUGCGGGGUUUUCCAUAAAACCAUGAAGAAACUAUAGAGGAGGGCCCGUCGUCGGCAGCGUUCCUCGGGUCAUUUCCCCCCAACGACCGUGCUGGAACGCAAGUAUGAGCAACUUGUACUCUUAUUAUUGUAAAGAUUCUCUCUCUCUCUCUACACGCUCUUUCACUCGCACUUAAUGACAGCAUUGUUACGUUUCCCAUUUAAAAGCAGACGGGACCUCCUUUAUAGUAGCUUCAUGCCUGAAACAUAGAGACAGUCAGACAAAGAGUGAGAGAGUGAGAGAGAGAGCGAGCAAGGCAGAGCCUCGACGACUACCUGUUACACUCGUUCUCGUUAAUGUUGCUCUCCUUCUCAUUGUUGGUAUUUUCACCUUCUUCUUUGUGUUCUUUCGUUUGCCUGUUUACCUGUUUUCUUUUUUCUUUCAAGUCCGACACCAUCCAUAAAUUCCAAAACCCAGAACAAGACGACCCAUCGUUAGGGUCCCCGGUCCGCGACACUAAGGAAACUAUCUUGAGUUUUAAAUUAAGAAAUCCACUGGCUUAUCUAUACCAUAAACGGUGUUAUAUAUCAUUUUUAAAAAUGUUCAUACAUACAGAUGUAGUACAUGGUGUGUACAUAUGUAUGCAAAUAGUAUAUACCAUACAUUAUAUACCCUCAAGAGCGUUCAUUCGAUUGUACAAAAUAAUUAAAACGUAUUCUCAAUGUCGUAAUAGCUGACGAUAGUCGUAGACACUCUAUGUACUACCCAGUAUUAGCUGGAAUGCUGAUAAGAAAUUAUAAGGGUGCUCUUUCCUGACAUCACAGCUUCAAGAUCUCGACAGAUCUUUUAUAGAGAGGCAACUAAAGAGAGAUAAACAGUUUAGAAUCAUUUUACUCAUUUAUACAUUAAAAACAACUAUUAUAUCAAGGCCUCUACUAAUCUAAUCUAAGAUCAUGGAACCACAUUUUAAUGUAUUUCGUUUUAAACACUGAAUUCUGUAAGAAUAGCUUAACUUUAUAAGAAAUUUGGAAAAAUGUACAUAGAAGAAAAUCAUUUUACUUAAUUAUUUGUAUUUUCAACAUCGAUUAUAUUUACAUUAUGCCAAAAUUUACUCAGUUUAAAACUCCAUAAAAGUUUACUUAAUCUUAAACU